CAACAAGUUUCCUCGAAGCUGAUUGCUAAGUAUCCUCCAAUUUCGAAGCCAUUCUCCACAAUAAGAUUAGAAGAACUAUUUCCCUAAAGUAGUGCGAACGUUUGAAUAUUUUUCUUGCAGAUACCGUUGAUCCAACAUAUUUUCUGUGAAGCAAGUAGUGUUGCAGAUAUUUUAGCCAAACAAGAAGCAUUGAGAUCUGAAGAUUUCAUUCCUUACUUUUGAGUUUUUGCCUUGGGUUUUCGGCGUUAAUUUGGGUUUGCAUUUGCGUUGUUUUGAUUGGAACUUCUGUUCGAUGUAAUUUUGGUUGUCUGUACCCCUCAUUUCAUGCUUUUUUUUACUUAAUAUGCCAUGUUCUAGGUCAAGUGUAUCAG
rnacentral:misc_RNA from 1 species